GCUUUUUUUAAAUCAUCGCUCUCUACGCAUGGCCAGCUCAUCUGCAAAUGGUCGUCUCCCUCUCUUCCUCGAAUGCCAUUAAAAACCUCGAACGGGCUCUGAAAACUGUUCCAUAGUUCCCCCGCCCCAUUAGAAAUGAAUGGAAGGGCCUUCGUUUUGAUAUUUUUCUUCUGGGCUGUGCUCACCGUCGUCACCCCAACUCUUAUCAUCUUGUCUGCAUCCGCAAAAUCCAAUUUUAACUCAAAUGGGGAGAAGAGCAGUGGAUUGAAAGCCAGAAGAAUGAUGGGUUCUUUAGAGGGAGAACGAAUCAGAAGAGCAUUAGCGGCUCCGGCACCGGCACAGGCACCGGCACCAGCACCAUCUCCAAGACAUAGAAUAAUUGUUUUAACAAAGUUUUGGCAUGGAAAAGAGACGUAAAAUUAAUCAAGGCAGGGCUGUAAAUAUAAAUUUCUUUUUGUAGCUUAAAUGAAGGCUUCAAAUUCCUUGCAACUGCGUUCUGACUUUCAAUUUCUGUUUGGAUUAGCACUGUUCAAGUACCACUCCUACUGUAAUCAUAAUUCAUGAGCACCGUUUCCUC